rnacentral:rRNA from 1 species
AUAAGUAACCUGCCCUCAUGAGGGGGAUAACUAUUAGAAAAGAUAGCUAAGACCGCAUAGGUGAAGGGGUCGCAUGACCGCUUCAUUAAAUAUCCGUAUGGACAGCAGGAGGAUGGACUUAUGGCGCAUUAGCUGGUUGGUGAGGUAACGGCUCACCAAGGCGACGAUGCGUAGCCGACCUGAGAGGGUGGACGGCCACACUGGGACUGAGGCACGGCCCAGACUCCUACGGGAGGCAGCAUG